UACAGAGGUCUCAAGCGUUGUUCGGAUUCAUUGGGCGUAAAGGGCGCGUAGGCGGCGGGGUAAGUCUGGUGUGAAAUCUCGGAGCUCAACUCCGAAAUUGCACUGGAUACUGCUCUGCUUGAGGGUUGGAGAGGAGAUCGGAAUUCACGGUGUAGCAGUGAAAUGCGUAGAUAUCGUGAGGAAGACCAGUGGCGAAGGCGGAUCUCUGGACAAAUCCUGACGCUGAGGCGCGAAGGCCAGGGGAGCAAACGGG
rnacentral:rRNA from 1 species